CCUGUGAAUGAUUUUGAUAUGGUCAUGCAUUUUCUUAAUGGCCUCGGUCCCGAGUUUGAUCCUGUUGUGUCUGGAAUUACGUCUAGGAGUGAUGUUCUUUCUCUUGAAGAAGUUCAAGCUCUCUUGAUGUUCCAUG